GAUGAACGCUGGCGGCGUGCCUAAUACAUGCAAGCCGAGCGAACAGACGAGGAGCUUGCUCCUCUGACGUUAGCGGCGGACGGGUGAGUAACACGUGGAUAACCUACCUAUAAGACUGGGAUAACCUCGGGAAACCGGAGCUAAUACCGGAUAAUAUAUUGAACCGCAUGGUUCACUAGUGAAAGACGGUUUUGCUGUCACUUAUAGAUGGAUCCGCGCCGCAUUAGCUAGUUGGUAAGGUAACGGCUUACCAAGGCAACGACGCGUAGCCGACCUGAGAGGGUGAUCGGCCACACUGGAAAUGAGACACGAUCCUGAGACCUACGGGAGGCAGCAGUAGGGAAUCUUCAGCAAUAGGCGAAAACCUGACGGAGCAACGCCGCGUGAGUGAUGAAGGUCUUCGGAUCGUAAAACUCUGUUAUUAGGGAAGAACAGAUGUGUAAGUAACUAAGCGCAUCUUGACGGUACCUAAUCAGAAAGCCACGGCUAACUACGUG
rnacentral:rRNA from 1 species